AUGAAUCUUUGUCCUUCUCCCUCUGAUCUCCAGCUCACUAACUCCAGAUACAUCAUAUCUUUUGUGCCCUGUUCUACGCUCCAGGAGGAUCAUCUAUUUAACUGUAGGAAUGGGCUUCUUUACUCUCUGGCCUCAAAUUGGGUUCAGCCUCAAAGAUGUGACAAAAAAAGGCAGAAGGAGGGAGGAAAGUAAAGUUAAGGCUCCUUUUCUGUUUGGCUUCCUUGAGAUGAGUAUGACUUUUGUCUUGUAAGGGAUAUACAGCUUCUCUCUUCCAAAUUUCAGUAAUCACUCUAUUCUGUUUGAUACUUUGGGUAUGAAUGUUAGCGCCACUAGACCUAGGCACUGAGAUAUUCCUUAGGAUCCCCUCCUCUACCUUAUCACACCUAUUUUCCCUUCAUUAAACAUUCCUUGAAUUAUAUUAGCCUAAAUAGAGUAUGCCAUCUAUUUCAUGCUGAGACUCUAACUGAUCCAAGAACAUUUUAAUUACAAAAGUCUACUUUAACUGCUGGAAAUAUAGUGGAGCAUGGGGGCUGGGGGAUGGUGCAUACACACACUCACACAGAAUACAUUCUCCCUCAAAGAACAUCCCAGGGCCCAUGGUGUCACUGGUGAAUUCUACCAAAUAUUUAAAAAUGAAAAAAAGAGAAAAUAUGAAAGACAAAGGUAGACAAGUAGAGAGAUCACUUUAUAGAAAACAGAUGGUUUAAAAAUAAUUUAUUUCAUUUACAAUUCUGAGUAAACUAUUUGUGCUAGGCUCUGAUGGGUGCUUUUUUUGGUCUUGGCUGAGCUCGCACAUGUAUUUUCAGUCAACAACUGGCUGACUGAACUUGGGCUGGUCUCUGAUGGGCUCAAGUGGGAAAGAUCACUCUUUUCCAUGUGGUGUCUCAAUCCCCAACAGGCUAGCAUGGACCCGUUUACAUAGCAACCAGGCAAGAUUACAUACAAGUUUCCCAGAUCCAUGAGGUUGGAAAUGGCAUGUCAUAAUUAUUCUACAUUCUCCUGGCCAACGGAAGUCACAAUACCAGCCUCUCUCAAUGGGAGAAAUUGUAAAGUCAUAUUGUACCAGUUGGCUCUCUGGUUGUUCUGGGUAUGAUACUCUAUUGGGAUCUCAGAGACAGUUGCUGAUGUCAACAUACUGGAUGCUUAGGAGUGGUUGUAUCCAGUUCAAACAUGGUGAGAAUUCCAUGUUAAAGUGAAGUAUAAACGGUAAUUGUUAUCAUAGCUAUUUGUUCAUAAACCUAUUGAUCAACGUUGGUGUACCUGAAUAAAAAAAAUGGCUGAUUGAUAUGAAGUGGAUCA
rnacentral:lncRNA from 1 species